rnacentral:rRNA from 1 species
UACAGGGGGUGCUAGCGUUGUUCGGAAUUACUGGGCGUAAAGGGCGCGUAGGUGGCUUGAUAAGUCAGGAGUGAAAUCCCGGAGCUUAACUCCGGAAUUGCUUUUGAAACUAUUAGGCUAGAGUAUGUUAGAGGAUGGCGGAAUUCCUAGUGUAGAAGUGAAAUUCGUAGAUACUAGGAAGAACACCGGUGGCGAAGGCGGCCAUCUGGGACAUAACUGACACUGAGGCGCGAAAGCGUGGGGAUCAAACAGG